ACACACACACACACACACACAUUUUUUUGAGUUUAUAUACCAAUACAUCUUUUCCUAGACUGGGCCGGAGUGGGUAUAAAGUUACUCACAGGAGACAACACACAAUGGCCUGAAACAAAAGCGUUUUUAACAAACCUAUCUUGUUUUUACGUGGAACAGAGGAGGAGGAGGAGUGGGGGGAGAGAAAGCGAGAAUGAGUGGGUGGAAAGGGACUGAAUCGGAGUGAUAAAACACUCACUCACUCACUCACUCACUCACUCACACACUACCUGCCAUAGACGAUUAUGUCCCAGUGCAGCCCCAUGUAUACAUCACAACUGGUUUAUUGUGGCACCCUGCGAUAGCUUGACACAAUGCAGUAGUACAUAUGGUUUGAGUGUUUGGAGGAUUGGGCAUUUUGUUCCAUGCGGUGUCUCUCCUUGUUUGGUUUAGCAAAACAUUGCAGUUGACAUUUACUUGACAGACAAAACAACUCUUGAAUAGCAACCUGAGUGGACAAAAUGUCAACUUUAGUUUCAUUCGGGACACCAGUCUCUUGGACAAAAGUCCUGUUUGUUUUGGAAUGUUUGAAGUGAUGACUGUAACAACCCAUUAAUCACAUGUGUGUUUCCUGUUUUACUUUGACAUCAAAUCUCCCCUUUCAUUUCAGUUCCUGUCCUUGUCUUCCUUCUGAUCCGUCAUCCACUACACUUGCACUCAAUGACCUGCUCCUGGUUUAUCCCCCCUGCAAACCCCACAUAUAUACUUUUCGGUUUGGCUGCCAAUCUGGCGUUCGCGGCGCAUUCACAGUUGUGCAACAGUGUCUCCCUGUUACAAACCCAAUCUUUCCUUUAACGGAAUCGGGUUGAGUGUUGCUGCUGGCUCUGUGUAGCUGUACUAUCGGCACUGCAGGUGUAUUGGUGCGAAGCUCCCUGACGGGUAUGCAUGUAUACCAGUGGCAUUGCGUGUAUGUUCUUAA